rnacentral:rRNA from 1 species
UACGUAGGGGGCAAGCGUUGUCCGGAUUUAUUGGGCGUAAAGAGCGUGUAGGCGGCCACACAGGUCCGCUGUGAAAACUCGAGGCUCAACCUCGAGCUGUCGGUGGAAACCGUGUGGCUAGAGUCCGGAAGAGGAGAGUGGAAUUCCCGGUGUAGCGGUGAAAUGCGUAGAUAUUGGGAGGAACACCAGAGGCGAAGGCGGCGAACUGGACGGCAACUGACACUCAACUGCGAAAGCGUGGGGAGCAAACAGG